CAGUAGCCGCGGUGAGACAGAGGAUGCAAGAGUUAUUCGGAAUUACUGGGCGUAAAGCGCACGUAGGCGGUUAUUCAAGUCAGAGGUGAAAGCCCGGGGCUCAACCCCGGAACUGCCUUCGAAACUAGAUGACUGGAAUCUUGGAGAGGUCAGUGGAAUUCCGAGUGUAGAGGUGAAAUUCGUAGAUAUUCGGAAGAACACCAGUGGCGAAGGCGACUGACUGGACAAGUAUUGACGCUGAGGUGCGAAAGCGUGGGGAGCAAGCAGGAUUAGAUACCCGUGUAGUCCCUGUCUCUUAUAA
rnacentral:rRNA from 1 species